CCUACGGGGGGCUGCAGUGGGGGAUAUUGCACAAUGGGGGAAACCCUGAUGCAGCGACGCCGCGUGGGUGAAGAAGUAUUUCGGUAUGUAAAGCCCUAUCAGCAGGGAAGAAAGAAGACGGUACCUGACUAAGAAGCCCCGGCUAACUACGUGCCAGCAGCCGCGGUAAUACGUAGGGGGCGAGCGUUAUCCGGAUUCACUGGGUGUAAAGGGAGCGUAGACGGCCGUGCAAGCCAGGAGUGAAAGCCCGGGGCCCAACCCCGGGACUGCUCUUGGAACUGUGCGGCUGGAGUGCGGGAGGGGCAGGCGGAAUUCCUGGUGUAGCGGUGAAAUGCGUAGAUAUCAGGAGGAACACCGGCGGCGAAGGCGGCCUGCUGGACCGAGACUGACGUUGAGGCUCGAAAGCGUGGGGAGCGAACAGGAUUAGAUACCCGUGUAGUC
rnacentral:rRNA from 1 species